CCUUAGUAACGGCGAGUGAAGCGGUAACAGCUCAAAUUUGAAAUCUGGGUCUUUUAGGCUCCGAGUUGUAAUUUGUAGAAGAUGCUUUGGGUGCGGCCCCGGUCUAAGUUCCUUGGAACAGGACGUCAUAGAGGGUGAGAAUCCCGUAUGUGAUCGGUGGCUUGCGCCCGUGUAAAGCUCUUUCGACGAGUCGGGUUGUUUGGGAAUGCAGCUCUAAAUGGGUGGUAAAUUUCAUCUAAAGCUAAAUAUUGGCCAGAGACCGAUAGCGCACAAGUAGAGUGAUCGAAAGAUGAAAAGCACUUUGGAAAGAGAGUUAAACAGUACGUGAAAUUGUUGAAAGGGAAGCGCUUGCAACCAGACUUGCGCGGGGUUGAUCAUCCGGGGUUCUCCCCGGUGCACUCGGCCUCGCUCAGGCCAGCAUCGGUUUUGGUGGUUGGAUAAAGGCCUUGGGAAUGUGACUUCUUUCGGGGAGUGUUAUAGCCCUCGGUGCAAUGCAGCCUACCGGGACCGAGGACCGCGCUUCGGCUAGGAUGCUGGCGUAAUGGUUGUAAGCGACCCGUCUUGAAACACGGACCAAGGAGUCUAACAUCUAUGCGAGUGUUUGGGUGUCAAACCCAUACGCGUAAUGAAAGUGAACGGAGGUGAGAACCCUUAAGGGUGCAUCAUCGACCGAUCCUGAUGUCUUCGGAUGGAUUUGAGUAAGAGCAUAGCUGUUGGGACCCGAAAGAUGGUGAACUAUGCCUGAAUAGGGUGAAGCCAGAGGAAACUCUGGUGGAGGCUCGCAGCGGUUCUGACGUGCAAAUCGAUCGUCAAAUUUGGGCAUAGGGGCGAAAGACUAAU
rnacentral:rRNA from 1 species